AUGAGCAUCCUCUUGUGUGAACAGUGUAAUUGUUUCCUGAUUGGAAACAUAGAGAGGGGAAAAAAGACAAAUGAUUUGCGUGUUUCCUGUUGUAACAGCGGAGUGAAGGUAACUUAUACAGGGAUGAAAAGAGACCAUAUUUCAUGCUUGUUGCUAAACAAAUAGCUGCAGAACAGUGGGUUGUCAUGCUAAGCGAAACAGACGCUGACAAAAAGCUGCCUCUGUCUCAAAGGUUUGAGAGAUUCCUUUGUAGAUGCAAACACAGAAAGUGGUAACCUAGGAGAUAUUCUCUUUCUGCCCAUUUGUUCUCAGUCUGAAACUUAAGUUGUUGACCCUGUGCAUUAAUGUUUUGAUUUAUAGAAAAUAACGUCAUCAUGCAGUGCUUCGGUAUUUGCAGGAUUUUGACUUUGUUGGAGAAACUGUUGAGGGAGGGGACUGUUCUGAGCUAAUUAAAAAUAUACACAUUACAAAUGCAGCUUAUGGGGCAGCUCUCCACCUGCUGGCUGUUCCUGUUCUUCCCUGCAAUGUUCAUUCAUUAACCAUUAUUGAAGUUAUUCCAUGUAUUUUAGUGCACUAUAGCUGCUGCCCUGUGCUACUGCUGUACCGCCAGUAGCAUGGUGCAAUCUUUCCUGGUUCUGUAUUCAUUUUAUGCUAUCAGAAGGAGUAAAACCAAGGGGAAACAAGUCCAAGUCCUACUAGGGGAAAAAAAGGAAGAGUUUUCUGGUAGGUUGGGUGUCUGAAGGAGUUCACUGCAGGCAGGGCAGCACUGACUCUGGCACAAGAGCAGUGUGGGGAGAGGGAGCAUAGGGCUGCUGUACACCUGAAUCCCACAGUUAGAGCUCUGCAUUUUAUGUAAGGUGAAGAGUGCACUUGGGAUCGGGUAUGCUCUCAGGUGUGUACCCUGUCUAUGCAGCUGUGGCUGUGUGGUGUGCUAAAAGCAUCAGGUAGAGGUCCUCUUCUCCUCCCUAAACUCAUGGCAGAACCCAUCUUUGGUCCAGUGUGACCAUAGCAACCUCCAAGGCACCAUGAAGCAACAUGGCUAAGGCAGAACCCUUGAUUUGUACCAGCAGAUCAGCAUUGG
rnacentral:lncRNA from 1 species